GUUUCGAUCUGUACAUUACGCACAACAAGACAUUCCAUUACAUUCAGGAGUGUGAAAAGUACUCGAGCGCCAGGCCGAUCAAGGCCAUGCAAAGCGGCACUCAGAGUCAUAGAUGCACAGGUGUGUGGGUUUGCGACUCGCAAGACGUGCACAUGUGUCUCCACCAGCACAAUCCGACGAGCCGACUUUGAAGAUUCACUAAUGAUCCUUCCGCAGGUUCACCUACGGAAA
rnacentral:misc_RNA from 1 species